GCGAUUUACACCCCUAGUAUACACCUUUGAGUUACUUUCCAACAACAUGAAGGGAUAGUGUACAGUUAACUACUCUUGAGUGUGCAACAUGACGUUGCAUCUGGAAGCGUCGCUGCCGUCUUCAGAAACCUUUCUUGAAACGGGACGCUCAAAUUGCGACCAUCAUGGGCCCAAUUCAGGCGCUCGACAGGUUGAUGAUGACAGCCACUUUGAGACGACUACCUUUCACACGACCGAUUUGGACGUUUUCAUCGGCUCAACCUUUGAAUAAUGGCGUGCUGGAGAACACUAGUUUACUCCCUCCAUUAGGGGACAACCAUGGACAACCCCAACAGGAUGAGCAGCCCUUUGGCCUCUCCAAGACCCAUCCAGUUGGCCAUGCUUGGAGGCCCUUAACCUUGAGAUUAUCUGAGCGAUACAAAUUUAACGGGAGCCCGGCUGCUCUUUUGUCACCUACAAUAGUCCUUAGAGCAGGGGUCACCAAACUACGGCCUGCGGGCCGGAUACGGCCCAUGGGACCGUUUAAUCCGGCCCGCCAACCCUGAACAAAUUGUAUUAUUAAACUUUUUUUUUUGUCAUUUUGCCUGCAAUGACUGCGUUUCCCCAGUAGAUGGGGAAGCGCUCGCCUGCGCAUUUACUACCGGAAGCCGUGUCAGAAAGCUCGGUGCACACUCACAAGUGCGUGUACAUACUCAGUAGUACGGACAUGGCGCACUCGCGCUCUAUUUGUAUCAGUCUCGAAUUUAGAGCGUGGGCUGUGACCACAGCAUUCUUGUAAUUCGCGCGCUGAGCUUUCAGAUGCAGUUUUGCACUAAAGCCACCCACAAACCUUCCCCUGGAAUCCUUCCAUUAAAAUGAGUCGCCCAAGGAAAAGCAAGGUGGACACAGUUUAAAAGAAAGUGGCCAAUUUGGCUCCACGUACGCGACGUGACGUUCAGCCACAUGAACGUCAACAUUAACCCGUCACAGAUCGAGGUAAACAGACCAACACCUUGGAUCUCGCCUAAGAAUUGCCACAACAAAUUUUACUACAGACUAUGACGCACUAGCAAACUUUAACAAAAAAGACAGCGGUGUCUACAAGCCUACUGGAACCUACAAAAGGAUUAUAAGGAAGGAACACAAGAACUUUAAGAGACUGCUCAUAUGUGUCAGCAUGUGACAACUGAGCUGAACUUUUAUCUGUUAAGAUUGUGCAUGGCACAACAGAAAGUUAAUGUUCCAUGACUUUCUUUUCUAUGAAGAACCCAGAGAGAGUUAUUUAGUUAUUAUUUAUUUCCUGUUUUUUCUGUGAAGAACUCAGAGAGGGUUAUUUAGUUAUUAUUUAUUUCAUUAAUAGUGUUAUUAUUUGUUUCCUGACUUUUUUUCUGUAAAGAACCUGGAAAGGGUUAUUAAAUAACCGUUAUUUGGUUAGGUGUGGCUUUCUGGAAAACAAUACAUUUUUUAAGCUCCCCUACGAUCGUCACAUUUUUUCUGUUCCAAACUGACACCGGCCCCCUAUCAGAGAAGGGAAAAGUUAUGUGGCCCUCACAGGAAAAAGUUUGGGGACCCCUGGUCUAUAGGAAUGUAUGAUUCCAGCCAUGUCCUCCGCCCAUUUAUCUGGGUCUUCAGCAACAGGGGUAACCCCUUCAACUGCUUUUCUUGCCUCUUCCAAAGUCCAUGGCCGGAAAACAUACGUAUGUGGAGGUUGGCCUUCCCCUACAAUAGGGUUUACCACCUGUAUCAUUGGGCACACAUUAACAUUGUCCAUAUUUUGGGAAAAUCUGGCAGCAGUGGUCAAACCUCUUGUUUGUACAGGACUUCUAGUAAUGUGACCCUGACUUUUUUUCUGUUAUAUGGGGGAGGGUGCAAGUCUGCUAAACUUGGAUACAAGUUUUGCAUACGAGCGGAAGAUCCCUCUUGCUCCGCUUGAGCUGCACUUCCAGCUGCCGCUGGAGCCGUGGCCGGGACAGUGCGCCUGCCUGUGGCCUCAUUGUCUUCCGGUCUGACAAACAUAGUUGCAGCCUCAUCACUUUUCAACUUUCUAUCUUUUGUCCUUUGGAUUUGUUCUCUUCUCUCUUGUGAAGCUUUCAACCACAGUAUAGCACAAUUCAAUUCUCACUCUUCUCUUUUCUUUUCCAGUCCCUUCGUUUUCCUAUCGACACUCUCCUCCAAAACAUCAACCACUAUCUAACACACUUCAACUUUCAACUUUCCUUCUACUCCAUACUUUUUCUUCCACUUUGGCAUGUAUUGCAUACAAUUAAGAAAUUUACUCGCCAUGUACUUCUCAUCUCCUACAAGAGCUAGGGAUUUUAUUUCCCAUCUUAAUUUGGUAUUUUAGGUUUAUACAAUUUUUACAUUUUUUCUUUCUUUGAGGAUCCUCAAUGCAGGUUUAAAUUGACCUUUCAACAAAUUACUAGCCUGUGUUAUUGCCGUGGAUCAAUGGCAGAACUGCUAUUUAGUCAAUUUAUCCUACAAGUCGCACACUCAACCACACAAGUUUCUUAUCCAUUCCUAUGCGAAGUCCUCUUUUAAAAAAAAGAGCUGCUUCAUUCGGAGAGGGGACUCUACACCCCUUCCUUCCCUGGGAACUAGACAACAGUCCUGUCACCUAACCCUGCCAACGCAAAGUUGUACCCCUUAGAACCAGUUCAGUGGCCUAGUGGUUAGAGUGUCCGCCCUGAGACUGGAAGGUUGUGGGUUCAAACCCCGGCCAGGUCAUACCGAAGACUAUAAAAAUGGGACCCAUUGCCUCCCUGCUUGGCACUCAGCAUUAAGGGUUGGAAUUGGUGGUUAGAUCACCAAACGGUUCCCGAGCGUGGCACCGCUGCUGCUCACUGCUCCCCUCUCCCCCAGGGGAUGGAUUAAAAUCACAUGGGGAUGGGUUAAAUGCAGAGGACAAAUUUCACCACACCCAGAUGUGUGUGUGAUGAUCAUUGGGACUUUAACUUAACUUUAACUUUAUGCUAGUUACGCAUCAACUCCUGCCAAAGAGGACUUAACUGUCUAGCUAACUAGCUAGUUAGUUAGUUAGGCACUUUAACUUAACAGUGGUUGUCAAAUGAGGGUACACGGAGGUACGUGAGAUUUCACAAAAAUAUACAAAACAGUUUGAAACCACUGCUCCAAAAGAGCCACUUCAUCCGGAGGAGGACUCUACAACACCCACUCCUUCCACAAGACUUCUGUCUUCCCUAUUUUCUUACGUUUUCCCUGUGCACUUUUACCUUUACACGUUUCACAACAACACAACACACAAAUUAAUAAUGCACUUAUCCAUUGAUGUUAUUGUUAUGCAAAUGAAG